CUACGGGAGGCAGCAGUGGGGAAUUUUGGACAAUGGGCGCAAGCCUGACGACGCAACGCCGCGUGGAGGAUGAAGAUCUUCGGGUCGUAAACUCCUGUCGAGCGGGAAGAACGUUUCGCGGAUGAAUAAGCCGCGGAAGUGACGGUACCGCUAAAGGAAGCCCCGGCUAACUCCGUGCCAGGCACCCGCGAGUA
rnacentral:rRNA from 1 species